rnacentral:misc_RNA from 1 species
GAUGAAGAACGUAGCGAAAUGCGAUAAGUAGUGUGAAUUGCAGAAUUCAGUGAAUCAUAGAAUCUUUGAACGCACAUUGCGCCCUUUGGUAUUCCAAAGGGCAUGCCUGUUCGAGCGUCAUUUGUACCCUCAAGCUUUGCUUGGUGUUGGGCGUCUUGUCUCUAGCUUUGCUGGAGACUCGCCUUAAAGUAAUUGGCAGCCGGCCUACUGGUUUCGGAGCGCAGCACAAGUCGCACUCUCUAUCAGCAAAGGUCUAGCAUCCAUUAAGCCUUUUUUUCAACUUUUGACCUCGGAUCAGGUAGGGAUACCCGCUGAACUUAAGCAUAUCAAUAAGCGGAGGA